rnacentral:rRNA from 1 species
UACGAGGGGGGCAAGCGUUGUUCGGAAUUAUUGGGCGUAAAGGGCGCGUAGGCGGUGCGGUAAGUCACCUGUGAAAACUCUGGGCUCAACUCAGAGCCUGCAGGCGAAACUGCCGUGCUUGAGUGUGGGAGAGGUGCGUGGAAUUCCCGGUGUAGCGGUGAAAUGCGUAGAGAUCGGGAGGAAGCCGGUGGCGAAGGCGGCGCUCUGGACAGUUCCUGACGCUGAGGCACGAAGGUCAGGGGAGCGAAACGGG